UGCAUGUAUGUAUGUAUGUAUAUAUGUGCACAAGCACAUACUCACAGUUCUUUUUGGUUGGUGGUAUGUAUAUAAUUUCAGACUGACCAUUCUUCAUUGGAUAACCAGUAAGGGCUUUAUCCCCGAGAGAGGCUUAUUCUCCUUACCCUAGCAGUCAUUACUUGCCUAUAGUUUUUUUUGGGGGGGGGUUCGUUUUUCGAGACAGGGCUUCUCUGUAUAGCCCUGGCUGUCCUGGAACUCACUUUGUAGACCAGGCUGGCCUCGAACUCAGAAAUCCACCUGCCUCUGCCUCCCAAGUGCUGGGAUUAAAGGUGUGCGCCACCAUCGCCCGGCUAUAGUUUUUUUUUUUUUUUUUUUUUUUUUUUUUUGGUCUAGUGGUAAGACCCCUCAAAAUUUUUCCCCAUUCCACAUUAACUUAUCCAUUGAUAUUGCCGUUGUUCUGGUGUCUUUUGUGCAGCCAUUUCCAGGAAAGGCUGUUUCACAGAAGACUUCCUGGUAUUCUGGCUCCUACAAUCUUCGAAUUCACUCUUUUGUGAAGUUCCCUGAGCAAUAGGUGCAUGAGCUGUGUAGUGGUUUCAAUAUGCUUGGCUUAGUGGCUUCAAUAUGCUUGGCUUAGUGGCUUCAAUAUGCUUGACUUAUGGUAAGUGGCACCGUUAGGAGCUGUGGCCGUGUUGGAGUGGGUGUGGCUUUGUUGGAGGAAGUGAGUCACUGUGGGGGUAGGCUUUGAGGUCCUAUGCUCAAGUUCCAUCCAGGGUGGAAGAGAGGCUCCUCCUGGCUGCCUUUGGAUCGAGAUGUAGAACGUCCAGCUAUCUUUAGCAUCAUGCCUGCAUGUGUGCCACCAUGUUUCCCACAAUGAUGAUAAUGGACUGAACCUCUGAAACAAUAAGCCAGCACCAGUUAAAUGUUUGUACUUAUACGAGUUGCCUUGGUCAUGACAUCUCUUUCAUAGCAAUAAACCCCAACUAAGACAAGGGUGAUAUAGAUAUACCCAUGGGAUUGGGCUCCCCAUGACCUGUUGAUCUCUGAAUUAUGCCCAGUUGCGGUUUUCCAUGAUGGUCUCUACUUGCCAUUAAGAAAGGCUUCUUUGAUGAGAGGUAGUAUCUACACUUCUCUGUGAGGGAAAGGAAAAGAUUUUGAAUGUUGAAAUUAAUUAUGCAGGUUUAGCAAAGUGGAGGCAGCAGAUUCUUUUUUAAGGCCUGUGCUUUCACAAACUGGCUAGGAUGGCCAGUACCAGGCAUGGUUUCCCUCUUUUUAGUAGGCCUCUAAUACAAUUAGGCAGCUGGUGGUUCAUGCUGGUGAUUGAUUCAAAGGUGUUGCAGCUAAGUAGGAGUGUUUAAUCGAUUCCCUCCCUUCACAGCUCACAGAGUAUCUUCUGAGAUCGAGAUAGAUUUCAGAAAAGAGGCUUUCAGGUCAGAUCCAACUAGAAUCACCGAGUCCUGUGUCCUAAGUGUGCUGUGUCUUCAACAAUUGGGUCCUACCUUUAACCCAAGAGGGAUGCAAAGGUCGCCAGCCAGCUUCCGGCUCCUGCCAGCUUCCGGCUCUUGCUAGCAUGCCAUGUCUUCCGUGUUAGUGUGGAUGCUCCAGCAGGAACUAUAAACCAAAAUAACUUUUCCUUUGCGUGGGUUUGGUGUGUCUCCUGAACUGCGUGAAGGGCUGGUGAGAUGGCCCAGCAGGUGAAGGCAUGUACUUCCAAGUCUGACAAGCAGAGUUCAAUUCCUGGGACCCACAAGAUAGAAGGUAAGAACCAAUUCUCACAAGUCGCUCUUCUCCACGUGUGAACCAUGGUGUCCAUGUGCACACUCUGUGUGUAUACAAGUAUGUGCAUGUGUACAUAGAUGUAUAAAAGUAAAUAAAUGUAAUUAAA